rnacentral:rRNA from 1 species
UACAGAGGGUGCGAGCGUUAAUCGGAAUUACUGGGCGUAAAGCGUGCGUAGACGGUAGCGUAAGUCAGAUGUGAAAGCCCCGGGCUCAACCUGGGAAUUGCAUUUGAGACUGCUCUGCUCGGGUGCGGAAGAGGGAAGCGGAAUUUCCGGUGUAGCGGUGAAAUGCGUAGAUAUCGGAAGGAACACCAGUGGCGAAGGCGGCUUCCUGGCCUGUAACUGACGCUGAGACGCGAAAGCGUGGGGAGCGAACCGG